UAAAGCAAUCGUUUUACGUUUAGAAAGAAAAAGAAAUUUUACUUUAAAAUAAUACAAGGCAUGGGGUCGUUUAUACCGGUACAACUGUCCCCAUAUUAUUUGGUACAACCGUCCCCAUGUGGACAUUUUCCAAAUUAUAUUUAAUUAUAAAAAAAAUAAUAGGGAUACAAGAAUUUGAUUAACAUACCUUUAUUCUUCAAAAACCAUUCAUUUUCAAUAAACACACACGUAUAAUAUAACACGCAAGACAAGAUUUAAAAACUAAAAACAAUUUAUAAUCAAAUAUUUACUUUUGAUCUCAAAAAAUCAAAAAAACGUCCUACACGCGUGUAACUGGCUUUGUGUGACUCAACUUACAACUUACAUACUUCAACUUGUAUGCGGCUAUCACUCCUUGAACGCAUAGGGCUGUGCUCAACUGUUCACGAGAUAUUUGCAUUGGUACUACCGUCCCCCUGGUACUACCGUACCCAGUCUACCCUACUGGUGGAGGAGUCCGUAUUGAGGAUUAUGUUUUAAUUACUGAAGAUGGAUGUGUCAACUGGACUUAAGUUCCAAGAACUGUACCAGAAAUUGAAGAUUGGAUUGCCGGUGUUGAUGAUGAUUCCAAACACGAUUGAAUGAAUUUACAACAUCUUGAAGCUGUUAUUGUUAUCAUUUUUGUUUAUUUUGUUAAAAGUUAUAGAAAAAGAAUUAUAUAAUUGCAUAUUAUUAUCCUGUUUUCUUGCUUGUAUUGUUGAAAAUGCUGUAUACAUUAAGAAAUUGUGUUUGUGAUUUUGUAUAUUCUACAUGUUUGAAUAAAAAGGUAGUUUUAUA